rnacentral:lncRNA from 10 species
AGGCCCCUGGGCGCGGGCCGGAGAGCGUGCGGGCGCCAAAGACGACGGGCGGAGAUUCGCAGAUUAACGCUUGAUCCGGGAGAGGGAGAAAGGGAAGUAGGAGUAAAAAGAGCGAGCUGGAGCGUGAAAGAAGGAAUGUCUGCGUGAGGGGGGACGUAAGGGACAACGUCUUGCUAUGUUGCCUGGACUGAACUCGAACUACCCAGCUCAAGCAAUCCUCCCAAGUAGCUGGAACUACAGGGUCGCACUGUGUUUUAUCUAAGUUUUAAGAAUAUAUAUUUCACCCCACACCCUCUUGCCAUGAGACUCAAUAAAAAUAUAUAUACAGGCAGUGGGGGUAUGAAAAGGCUGCUCAUUAAUCCUAACUCUAACAUUCUGUUCUCUGGUUCUAAGUGUCUGUACCAAGAGAAAUUAACAAGAAUUGGCAAAUACUAGAUUGAAUCGACUCUCUUUUUAAAUGUCAUUUACCCUUUUUGGUAUAAAUGCAUGGCUCUGCAGUUAAGAAUACAAUUAAACUCUCUCUCCUCAGAUAGGCAGCCCAGUAGCCCAAAGAAAUCGAACUGCCAGCUUUUCAGUCAGAUAGAGCCUAUAAUUCAAUUAACAAUGCAGACAGUAUCAAGGCUAAUCAAUGCUACACUCUGAAAAGAGAGGGAUUUGUGGAUUGAGUUUAUCUUUAUAAUGAUUAUUAACAAUUUAUCAAAACAUAUAGAAUUAGAUAAAUUAUUAAUGAAGCAUGCAAAGUUAAAAAAAAAGAGUGGGUACAUUGAGUGGAUCAGUGCUACAAGAUUUGAGAGGAAAGAGCAUGCUUCUGCCCUAGAGGCAACAGAGGCUUCGCUGAGUGGGAGGGAUGUAACCCCAGAGCUGGGCCUCCAAGGGUGGACUGGAAACUUACAUGGCCAUCAAUCAUCUCCUAGGGCAGUAAGCGUGUGAGCCAAAGACGGCUCAGGGUCCUAAAAUAAAUUCCUUUCAGUCCAGUCUCAAUGCUUC